AAAAAGAUGACCCUUUAUUGAAGGUGGAUUAAGAAAAUUUAACUUUGAGAAAACAAAGAAAAAAGAAUCAAGAUUCCCAUUACUAUCAGUAGACAAAUCGCAUCAACACAGAAUUGAACUAAAACAAAUGAUACUCUGAAGCACAGAUGUCUCUUCUCCAAGACAGGAUUGUUGCCUUGUAAUGUUCACAUCACAUGGCCAAGUCUUCUCCCUGAUCUCUUCCAGGAUGCCUUACACGUUCGGCAUGCAAGAUUGACAAAAGCAUUUCGAAAAGCAAAUCAUGCCUUGGUAAUAAUUUCCUUGAUGAAACUAGAACAUGUGUCGAUUGUCUGAAGAAAAAACAUGAGCACUCUCGCCCAUGGUAAACAUAAAUAUACCCACUUCUUCUUUUCUCCUUUAUAAAUAUCACCCCUUCUUGCUACUUCUUUCAGGCUCAAACGUUCUCACACACAUUGCAACGUUUCCUGAACUUCUUUGUGAUCAUUCUUUCAGGGGAGUUGCAUCACAAUGGAUAUAUUUAUUCCUGAGGAGUAUGUUAUACAGCGAAGAAGUGAAAAAAGGGUGGCUGCAGUUGCUGGUAAAAUGUCAGAAAAUCAGGCAAUAAAGAGGAUUGUUAUUGAAGAGAAAAAAGUCCGGCCACCACCGUUUGGGUUGGUGAAUGACUUCUCAGUGUCUAG
rnacentral:misc_RNA from 1 species